UCAUAGUGGGACAUCAGGGAAUGUUGGGGGGUCUGGGGAUAUAGGCUGCACUACAUAGUGUGACUUCCUGGGAUACUGGGAUGCCAGGGACAGAGUCCAGGUUCCUCAGACUCCAUAGUGCUGAGGGUCCUGCUGCUCUCCUGGGGAGAUGGCAUCUCUCCCUUUGCCCCACAGUCUCUGUUUGGCAGCCCCUCCACAUUCAGUUCCAGCUCUUCACAGGUGGAGGUCCCAGGAGUGCCAAGCAGUUGGUCUGGGCGGACCCAGAAAGAUCCAGGAGGUGUCCAAGGGAGAGGUCCACAUGUGCUGGGCAGGACGAUGUGUGAGGGAUAAACAUGACUUUUCCAG